UACGGAGGGAGCUAGCGUUGUUCGGAAUUACUGGGCGUAAAGCGCGCGUAGGCGGCUUUGUAAGUUAGAGGUGAAAGCCCGGGGCUCAACCCCGGAAUUGCCUUUAAGACUGCAUCGCUUGAAUCCGGGAGAGGUGAGUGGAGUUCCGAGUGUAGAGGUGAAAUUCGUAGAUAUUCGGAAGAACACCAGUGGCGAAGGCGGCUCACUGGACCGGCAUUGACGCUGAGGUGCGAAAGCGUGGGGAGCAAACAGG
rnacentral:rRNA from 1 species